CAGGGAUUGCCCUAGUACGGCGAGUGAAGCGGCAACAGCUCAAAUUUGAAAUCUGGCUCUUUUAGAGUCCGAGUUGUAAUUUGCAGAGGGCGCUUUGGCUUUGGCAGCGGUCCAAGUUCCUUGGAACAGGACGUCACAGAGGGUGAGAAUCCCGUACGUGGUCGCUGGCUAUUGCCGUGUAAAGCCCCUUCGACGAGUCGAGUUGUUUGGGAAUGCAGCUCUAAAUGGGAGGUACAUUUCUUCUAAAGCUAAAUAUUGGCCAGAGACCGAUAGCGCACAAGUAGAGUGAUCGAAAGAUGAAAAGCACUUUGGAAAGAGAGUCAAACAGCACGUGAAAUUGUUGAAAGGGAAGCGCUUGCAGCCAGACUUGCUUACAGUUGCUCAUCCGGGUUUCUACCCGGUGCACUCUUCUGUAGGCAGGCCAGCAUCAGUUUGGGCGGUAGGAUAAAGGUCUCUGUCACGUACCUCCUUUCGGGGAGGCCUUAUAGGGGAGACGACAUACUACCAGCCUGGACUGAGGUCCGCGCAUCUGCUAGGAUGCUGGCGUAAUGGCUGUAAGCGGCCCGUCUUGAAACACGGACCAAGGAGUCUAACAUCUAUGCGAGUGUUUGGGUGUCAAGCCCGAGCGCGUAAUGAAAGUGAACGGAGGUGGGAACCCGCAAGGGUGCACCAUCGACCGAUCCUGAUGUCUUCGGAAGGAUUUGAGUAAGAGCAUGGCUGUUGGGACCCGAAAGAUGGUGAACUAUGCUUGAAUAGGGUGAAGCCAGAGGAAACUCUGGUGGAGGCUCGCAGCGGUUCUGACGUGCAAAUCGAUCGUCAAAUUUGGGCAUAGGGGCGAAAGACU
rnacentral:rRNA from 1 species